rnacentral:rRNA from 1 species
GACGAACGCUGGCGGCGUGCUUAACACAUGCAAGUCGAACGAAGAGCGAUGGAAGCUUGCUUCUAUCAAUCUUAGUGGCGAACGGGUGAGUAACGCGUAAUCAACCUGCCCUUCAGAGGGGGACAACAGUUGGAAACGACUGCUAAUACCGCAUACGAUCCAAUCUCGGCAUCGGGACUGGAUGAAAGGUGGCCUCUAUUUAUAAGCUAUCACUGAAGGAGGGGAUUGCGUCUGAUUAGCUAGUUGGAGGGGUAACGGCCCACCAAGGCGAUGAUCAGUAGCCGGUCUGAGAGGAUGAACGGCCACAUUGGGACUGAGACACGGCCCAGACUCCUACGGGAGGCAGCAGUGGGGAAUCUUCCGCAAUGGACGAAAGUCUGACGGAGCAACGCCGCGUGAGUGAUGACGGCCGUCGGGUUGUAAAGCUCUGUUAAUCGGGACGAAUGGUUCUUGUGCGAAUAGUGCGAGGAUUUGACGGUACCGGAAUAGAAAGCCACGGCUAACUACGUG